rnacentral:miRNA from 1 species
UGGAAUGUGGUGUGUAAUGCCG